ACGGGUGAGUAACACGUGAGCAACCUGCCCCUGACUCUGGGAUAAGCGCUGGAAACGGCGUCUAAUACUGGAUACGAACAAGAAUCGCAUGGUUACUUGUUGGAAAGAUUUUUUGGUUGGGGAUGGGCUCGCGGCCUAUCAGCUUGUUGGUGAGGUAAUGGCUCACCAAGGCGUCGACGGGUAGCCGGCCUGAGAGGGUGACCGGCCACACUGGGACUGAGACACGGCCCAGACUCCUACGGGAGGCAGCAGUGGGGAAUAUUGCACAAUGGGCGGAAGCCUGAUGCAGCAACGCCGCGUGAGGGAUGACGGCCUUCGGGUUGUAAACCUCUUUUAGCAGGGAAGAAGCGAGAGUGACGGUACCUGCAGAAAAAGCGCCGGCUAACUACGUGCCAGCAGCCGCGGUAAUACGUAGGGCGCAAGCGUUAUCCGGAAUUAUUGGGCGUAAAGAGCUCGUAGGCGGUUUGUCGCGUCUGCUGUGAAAUCCCGAGGCUCAACCUCGGGCCUGCAGUGGGUACGGGCAGACUAGAGUGCGGUAGGGGAGAUUGGAAUUCCUGGUGUAGCGGUGGAAUGCGCAGAUAUCAGGAGGAACACCGAUGGCGAAGGCAGAUCUCUGGGCCGUAACUGACGCUA
rnacentral:rRNA from 1 species